GAGCACGCGCCCCGGCUGCAGACUCUGGUGUCCAGCGGCUGGGAUGCCCACAUGGCCUGCCAGGCCCUGGGGACAUGUGCGACUCCGUUCAGUCCUCUCCAGUGUGUCCACAGCCCCCACUUCUGAUGGGAAUGCACAGCCACGGCAGGCUGAACUCAAGGUUCCUGAGGGCCCCAGCAGCGCCGUCUUGACUGUCCUCUCUCAAAUCCGCUCACCCCUCUGCCCAGAAUCCCCGUGGCGUUCAGUGCCAGGCCCAGCUCCCAGCUUGCUGGCCCUCUCCCAACCCAGAGGGGAGCUUCUGCGCCUGACCAUGGCUUUCCCCUCACAGACCACCCUCUGCACUCACUGAUCCUCAGUACCAAAUGUGUUUACACCAAGCCCUGCCUUUCCUGAAACUCAGGGGACACCAGACAUUACUCCCCAAAGACGCCAGGAACUCCUCCAUUGCCUGACUCUUCCUGAGACUCCUCCCUCUCUCCCUCAAUGUCACUGGGUUAGAGGUGAUCCCUUAGGAGAGAGGAGCGGGUCAGAGGCAGCCUCUAUGCCAGGUGCUUCUGGAGAGGGAAGCGCCCCUGAGAACAGACCCGGCAACUUCACAGUUCUGCCCAAAGCAAAACCCCCAACAUGAAGGUCAUGCAUUCACCUCUUUUCACUCGUUUUUUUACAAUGCAAUGAGUACCUGUGACCAGGCCACAUUCUCGGAACAAGGGCUAGAGGUGUGAAUAAAACAGUGAGCCCCCCACAACCCUACUGAAGCUCACGCCCCAGGGCCCAUCUGUGGGUGGAAGGAAGUCCAGCCUGCUCCAGAGAUCCUUGAGAAUCACGAGCCCCUGGGGGAGGUGGUGGGGAGGAAGUGUCUGUGAUGAUUCAGACCCUCCCUCCAGAGACAAGUUUAAUGUCAUCCCUCCCCACUGAUGGCAGCUGCUGGGGCCAGGGGGCGGGGGCGGGGGUCAGGGAGCUGCCAGAAAGAGCUGGGCCUUCCAGCCCUAUUGAAACAGGAAGAGGAGUGGUUGGCACAGAAGGCCUGGGCUCUGGUCUGAACUCUGCCAGCCCCUGGCCGUGGGUCCCCAGCCAAGACACACCACUCCUCUCUGGACCUCACUCUUCUCAGUGACAAAGGCGGAGCUGGGUCAGGUGGUUUUCAGGACUCUCCAUAUGACAAGACGCCACCUCUGUCUCCCUGCCCUGCCCACACUGAGAAGAAGGGUGGGCUUCAUUCCCAUGCUCCCCUUCCUCAUCUCCUUUCCUCCAAAGGCUCUGAGGCUGGUAGGCCACAGGCCCGCAGAUUGUGCCUUCAGUCCUGGGUCAGCCUGGUAUGUCUUAUCUCUAACCACAGCCUGGAAACAGAGGCACUUCCAUCCACUUUGGGAAUGAGGGGUGGCCAAGACCUCAUCUUCUGGACAAGGAAUGCAGAUGGGGCUUCCGGCCCAGGGCCACCUGCACAUCCCACCAAAGUCAGCCCAGCUCUCACAGCACCCCCAGCACUGGGCUGAGGGGACCUUGUCGUGGACCCCCAGUCCUUCUCCAAGUCCUGGCAUCAAGAGGACAGCGGAGGGAGAAUCCUGUGCUGGCGUCACUCCCAUCUCCAUGUGCAUGAGAUACUAGCUUUUACAAUCACUCUGCUAACACUUUCACAAAACUAAGAAUUCAGAAGAAUAAAAAAGUGGGAACAGAAAGUCCCAGAAAAGACAGACACG
ensembl:lncRNA